rnacentral:rRNA from 1 species
UACGUAGGGUGCGAGCGUUAAUCGGAAUUACUGGGCGUAAAGCGUGCGCAGGCGGUUUUGUAAGCCAGAUGUGAAAGCCCCGGGCUUAACCUGGGAAUGGCAUUUGGGACUGCAAGGCUGGAGUACGGCAGAGGGAGGUGGAAUUCCAGGUGUAGUAGUGAAAUGCGUAGAGAUCUGGAGGAACACCGAUGGCGAAGGCAGCCUCCUGGGCUAGUACUGACGCUCAUGCACGAAAGCGUGGGGAGCAAACAGG